rnacentral:rRNA from 1 species
UACGGGGGGGGGCAAGCGUUGUUCGGAAUUACUGGGCGUAAAGGGCGCGUAGGCGGUCGUGACAAGUCACUUGUGAAAUCUCCGGGCUUAACUCGGAACGGUCAAGUGAUACUGUCGGACUAGAGUACAGAAGGGGCAACUGGAAUUCUCGGUGUAGCGGUGAAAUGCGUAGAGAUCGGCAGGAACACCCGUGGCGGAAGCGGCCGCCUAGCCCGCACCUGACGCUGAGGCGCGACAGCGUGGGGAGCGAACGGG